rnacentral:misc_RNA from 1 species
UCGUUAAUGCCAGAUCUUGUUGUAGAAAGGGCCACAACACCGCAAUCUAGGGUUUCCUUGUCCGUUGCAGCAAAGGUCACGACACCGUACUCCAAGGCUUCCUUGUCCAUGAAAAGGAUUGUAAUAAAUUCUGCCAGAGUCUUUAAAAACGCCGAUGGGAUAUCUGAUCGGCGAUGAAUAUUUUCCAGAUCGUUGAUAAUUGAAGGGAUUAAAAGGCGAUUUCACUGGACAGAAAUCGACACUUGCAGGAGUUGACGGAGGAGGAGAGACGGUUUUGAGAGACUUCGGAGGAGAGAGAACGGCUCUAAUCUUCGAACCAGGACAACACAGAUCAUAUUCUGCAACGAGAAGCGCCAAUUCCUCAUCGGAUUUUAUAGAAACUAGCAUCUCCAAAUUUCCAUUCGGUAAUUGACACCUCAAUUCCACAGAAGAUCCACAAAAUUCUCCAAGCUUAACCAUGAGUUCUGCAAAGGAUAUAGAACGAUUGACGGCUAGAAUUCUGGUGUGACCACCGAUGUAACGGAUCUCUCCGUCAACGGGUCGUAGAAGAAUCUUACCACCGUAACUGCAGAGAAACUUAAUAGUCUCUGUGGUUCUGUCUAAUUCAACAUCGCUGACCAUGUUUUUUCUAUUCGGAGUGUGCAGUUGGA